UCAGUGCAACAGUAAAGAGGCUUAUGAUAUAAUGUCACAGAAAAACCACACAAAAGGAUAUUUGAAGGCGAUUGGCCCUGUAUCACUAAAGACACACCAGCCAACCUCCGGAAGCCUUGUUAAGUGCUAACCGAUAUGAGUAAACAGGGCAGACCACAGGAUAUUCAGGGCCAAAGGUUACAAGAUUAACAAGUGACCACUUUUCUGAAGAAGGGUCUAGGCCCGAACCGUCAGCCUUCCUGCUGCUUGGCCUGCUGUGUUCAUCCGGCUCGACACCUUGUUCUCUCAGACCACGUGAGCGAACGAGUUUGGCGUGUUUGAGUCUGACUGGGAAAAAAACCUUGAAAGUGCCGUUAUUUUUUGCAUGGCAAGCUGCUGAAUACGAACCAGUCUCACACCAUUGCCAUCACCUUGCCCUUGUGAAAGCAGAUAUGGAUAAAGUUUUCCAAGCUGAUAGAAAAUUCAAAGCACUCACAUCCUGUGACGAUGCCAUGACCAAGGAGAACCAAUUCUGCCUGGGAGAAGAAAGGCAGGAGACAGAAUGAUUAGGGAUUGUUUAGCGAGAGGAACCGUGCUAUGAUGUGCAUCCAGAUAUGAUGCUUUCUAUGGUACAUCAAUGAACGUAGUCCGUGUGGACACACCGAAUUGCCUUAGCCUCCUGGGAAGUAGAGGCAUUGGUAUGCUUUUUUGCCCAUUGCGACAAUCUGUUUGGACAGCAUUUAUCACGGUCACGGAUGUGACUCCAGAAUGGCGUAUUAACCAGGUCAACAAUGUCAUGAAGGGUAUCAUGAAGGAGGAGGUCUGUAAGACACAGCUCGAUGUACACCUUGGUAAGAUGAGUGAUGGGGUCUUGCAUCGAGUCUUCCGAGAGCUAGGCAGUGGAUUACAUAGCAGGACCUCUAAAGUUGCAAUCUCUGGAUUAUUCCUGGUGCCACAUGCUGAGAAGACAAGAAAAAGGGGAAGAAAACAGAUGAAUGCUUUGCUCACGUGUUUGUGUUCGGGGAAGGAUUUAGACUCCCGGAUCUGAAGGAAAACCUGCGGGGAUGGUGUAUCCUCUACAAGUGGGCUGGUCUGCAGCUGAACCGGAAAGGAGCCAAAAUCUUUGCACAAGGGUUUGCUAAUGUUGUGAGGAAUUUCGGCUAUGGACGUCCAAGCAGUGGGCAAUUGCAGCCACUCAGAGAUGUCCUUGACCUUGGUACCAGGGAAGCAACACACAGCCCUGGUGUCUCAAAUGUGGCUACAGAAACUCUGCCC